rnacentral:rRNA from 1 species
AUGCAAGUCGAACGGUAACAGGAAGCAGCUUGCUGCUUCGCUGACGAGUGGCGGACGGGUGAGUAAUGUCUGGGAAACUGCCUGAUGGAGGGGGAUAACUACUGGAAACGGUAGCUAAUACCGCAUAACGUCGCAAGACCAAAGAGGGGGACCUUCGGGCCUCUUGCCAUCGGAUGUGCCCAGAUGGGAUUAGCUAGUAGGUGGGGUAACGGCUCACCUAGGCGACGAUCCCUAGCUGGUCUGAGAGGAUGACCAGCCACACUGGAACUGAGACACGGUCCAGACUCCUACGGGAGGCAGCAGUGGGGAAUAUUGCACAAUGGGCGCAAGCCUGAUGCAGCCAUGCCGCGUGUAUGAAGAAGGCCUUCGGGUUGUAAAGUACUUUCAGCGGGGAGGAAGGCGACAGGGUUAAUAACCCUGUCGAUUGACGUUACCCGCAGAAGAAGCACCGGCUAACUCCGUGCCAGCAGCCGCGGUAAUACGGAGGGUGCAAGCGUUAAUCGGAAUUACUGGGCGUAAAGCGCACGCAGGCGGUCUGUCAAGUCGGAUGUGAAAUCCCCGGGCUCAACCUGGGAACUGCAUUCGAAACUGGCAGGCUAGAGUCUUGUAGAGGGGGGUAGAAUUCCAGGCGUAGCGGUGAAAUGCGUAGAGAUCUGGAGGAAUACCGGUGGCGAAGGCGGCCCCGUGGACAAAGACUGACGCUCAGGUGCGAAAGCGUGGG